CAGCUGGUUCUGGUGGGGCACUGCCCCUUACAUCGAGUUUUUGUUGGGAUACUUGUUGCGAGGCAAAGUUCUUAGUUCUCAAUCAUAACUGCCCCAGCGUCCAAUAAAAAAUCGAAAGCCUUUAUCAGUCAUGACUAUUUGACAGACAAACUAGAUCAGAGGAAGUAACAAAAACCUGUAUACGCACACAUUAAUGGCAGAGUUGAAUUACCACUCUGUAUUAAAUAUAAAACACUUAUCCGAAUGCCAGAAAAGCCAGCAACCUGAUAUUGGUAUGGCACUGCCGCUCACAUCAUUUUUAUAUUUAAUUAACCCAAAUUCUGCUAAAGAGGCUAUUUUGCAAUUUGUAGAUAUUGUGUAUUGGGGCAAGUUAGGUAGUGCCCCUCCAUAUUUGGCAAAAAGAGGGGGACAAACAUGAUGCUGUCCAUGAAUUCUGCGUAGCAACAAUAUGUGUAUUUGUUAACGUUAAAGUCUUGUGUGAAACACAUUUUGGAAAGACAUAAUACCACAAUACCUCUCUUUUUUUUAACUUGGGCUUUGGGGCAAACAUGAUUGUGCCCUAUAAAUUCUGCCUGGAAACACGUGACAACAAGUGACAACAAAAAACUAAGGGCAUUUGUUAAGCACUUGGGCUUGGGGCAAAAAUGAGUGUGCCCCAUCAAUACUACCUACAAACAGACAUUGCAUUUAUUAACAAUAUAGUCAAAUAACACCCUUAUAUGAAACAUCAAAUAUCAAAUGGAAAGGCAUCAAGUGGCAGUUUCGAGGCACUUUGACUCAGGGCCAACAUGAUUGUGCCCCAUGAAUUCCGUCUAGCCGUCGGUGAUGACAUCAUAGUUCAUAUCAAGCCAUUUCUCAUGCUUUAUAAAGAAGUACAUUAGUGGUCACUUUGUGUAUAUUACAUAAGGUGUUAGUGGAAACUACUUGCAAUGAAAGAUGACGAAGUGCAUAUGAGGAGGCGCAAUGAUAAGCCUUGUCUCUCAGAUUAGUUUGCCUGCAGGGUUUCUUUGACUUUCUUCUUCAUGGACUUUUUUUUUUUUGUAAGUCUUCCCAUCAGGAGUGUCCACAUGUGAUGAGUGAAGAAGCACAUUGGGUGGCAGGGGAGGACACAUAUAAAAAGUCAACGCAUCAGUCUGUAUUUGCUGUGUUGGGAUAUUUUGAAGGACACAUAUGGAGAAUCCAGGAUUGUUUUAAGUCUUAAAAAAAAAAAAAAAAAGGUAUAAAGAUGGCAACGGCAUCAGCGAGACGCUUGUCGGAACGUCGGCGGAGCUCACUUUUCCAGAGUUGCGACGAAGAAGACAGGGGGAAAAUGCCGAAGACAGACGACGACUCUUCCACUUUAACGGAUGUCGGCAGUGGCAGCGGAACAUUCCCAGAUCACAAAGAUGGAGAGGAGAAUGUUUGUCUCAAACAGACUGUCAAAGCCAGCGUGAUGAGCGCAGAGGAGCGCGAGCGUCUGCGCGCACUCUUCCACGUUUACGACACGGACCAGUCGGGCAGCAUCGAGCGCGACGAGUUCUUCACCAUCUGCACCGAGCUGAAGGUCAGCCCCAGCGAGGCCGAGCGCGUCUUCAACCGGCUGGACGUGGACAAGGACGGCACCAUCACGCUGCCGGAGUUCAUCCGCGGCUUCCACGAGCGGCACCGCAUGGACGCCCAGCGGGGGCCGAGGCAGGAGGAGGAGAAGGAGGAGGGGGAGGAGGGAGCCACCGGGAGCCACCGGGAGCCGCGCGCCGCCGCCGCCGCCUGGGAGGACUUCGCGGCCCGGCUGGGCGAGCAGAUCAAGUUUAUUCCCAAACACGAGCAAGUGUUGACGUUGUACCAGAACAUCAGCGUGAAUGAGCCCAGGCUUGUCCCUCAGCUGGAGAAAAUCCUGUUGAGUUUCACCAAGGAGAUCAAACAGCAGAAUGCCGAGAUGGAGAACCUGGCGCUGGCCAUCAGGCGAGCGCAGGAUCAAGCGUCCAUGCAGCUUAGCGAGAUGGAGGAGGAGAUGGACCAACGUAUCCAAACCACGGAGAGGAAAGCACGUGAGCAGGAGAAAAAGCGAGGGGAGGCGGAACUUGGCGAAGUGCGAAGAACCUAUGAGAUAGAAGUGUGUGAGCUCCAGUGUAAGAUCCAAAGGAUGCAAAUGAUUGAGGAGAAGUACAAGAACAUCACAGUGAAGGACGAGAGUCCGGCCCUGAAGAAGAAAAUCAACGAGCUGACAUUGGAGAAUCAGCGCUUUAAACAGGAGCUGCUCAAGUCCCAGACCAAAGUGGCGUGCCUGCAGAGUGACCUGGACUCACUCAAGACCGAGCUCACCGACCAGAGCAUCAACUCUGAAAGAGACGAGGAGCUGAUGAAGCAGUUUUCGGACGAACGAGACAUCCUGGAGAGCCAGAUUGAGAUCCUGCAGGAGGCGAACAGGAAGCUCCACGACAGCAACGACGGCCUGAGAGCUGCUUUAGAGAGGGCCACCAAGUCAAGUAGCAGCGGGUCUUCCGGCACCAAAGGGACUCCAAAGGGCAGAAACAGAAGCAAAAGCAUCGGCUACCCGUCGCCGUACACUCUGGACAGGUUGUGCCAGCGCCCCGACGACUACCCCGUUUUCGGCCGCCGGCCCAGCAGCGAAUCGCUGGCCCUGGCGCUGUGCGACCCGGGCCUGCAGCGGCGGAACAGCAGCGAGUGCGAGGAGGACAGCCUGCCCGAGAUCUACAUGGACAGCGGCCUGUCCACGCUGCGAGGCUCGCACGGCGGCUACGACUCGGAGCAGGAGGUCAAAGGCCUGGAAGAGGAGGAGGAGGAAAAGGUGGAGGCGGAGGAGAGGCUGACCGAGAAAAGGGAGGAGUUUGUCAGCAAAACCUUGUUUGAAGAGACCUCUGACGCUGAUCCGGCAGAGACGCAGGACGCAGAGUCAGCGUUUGGCUCGGACAGGAGCUCCGUUCUGGACCGGAAGCCGUCCGAGCCCGUUCGGCCGCCCGCGGCCGCGACCCCGCCCGCCCCAGUCGCCCCCCACGCCCGAAAAGCCGUCAGCGCCAUCAGUGUGCGGAGCGAGGACAAGGACAACGGCGACCUGGGCUACACGCCGUCCAAGAAGGCCUACAAGAUCGUCAUGGCCGGAGACGCCGCCGUGGGCAAGUCCAGCUUCCUGCUGCGCCUCUGCAAGAACGAGUUCCAACCCACCUCCAGCGCAACCGUGGCCGUGGAUUUCCAAAUGAAGACUUUCAUGGUGGACGGAGAGCCCACUGUGUUACAAAUUUGGGACACUGCCGGACAGGAGAGAUUCCGCAGCAUCGCCAAGUCUUACUUCCGGCGAGCGGACGGCGUGCUGCUGCUGUACGACGUGACGUGCGAGAGGAGCUUCCUAAACGUGAGGGAGUGGGUGGACAUGAUCGAGGACAUGUCUCAGGAGGACAUCCCCAUCAUGCUGGUUGGCAACAAAUGUGACCGGAGGCAAGGGGCACCCUACUGUGUGCCCACCAGCUACGGCGAGAAACUGGCUAUGACUUACAACACUUUGUUCUGUGAAACCAGCGCCAAAGAUGGCUCCAACAUCCUGGAAGCUGUGCUGCAUCUUGCUCGGCAAAGAGAGCCACAGUCGCUCAAUCUUAAGCAGGGUCGAAGAGCCACACACACAAAUACGACGUGAGAACACUCGCAAGGAGCUGCUGCAGGCCACAACUCACACCAAGACUCUCACAUGCAGACAAACUGGCCAGCUUCUGACUCACUAGGCCACGCCCCUCAUUUAAAUACACACAUCCAAGACGUGAAUACCGCAAUACGUAAAGGAGGUGACCAAACACUCAAAGCUCGACGAGCAAAGUCACUACCAGGCGCUGCCCAACUUAGACGCGCCGAGAAAAAAGCCCAACUUCUCCUGCUGUAACUGAACGACCCAUUUAAAAAAUUAUUCUUCUUAUUAUUUUUUUUAAUCGAGAUAAACAAAAUGCAGCAAAAGGAACAAAACAAACUUUGUGGCUGUGAAGACAUCUGAAGUGACAGUGGAAGUCCAGCAGAGCACAACUGCAACUUGUGUCAUUUAUCGGAAAAUGACAGCGCCUACUGAACUUUUGGAACUUUUGUGUUCAUCUCAUGUUGCUAUUAGCUCAUUCGCCAUCAUUUUCCGCACUUUGCAGAUCCGACAGAUGAGAUGUGAACGCUUUAAGACAGAUGUGAAAUGUUUUUUUUAAGGUGAACUUAGUAUGUGGUUUUUUUUUGUGGAAGGAUAAGGCUGCAUUUGAUUAUUUUAUGGCAAUGAGCUCAAAUUUCAGUUGCACAGGAGCUAAUUGUCUGCAAUUUUACACUUCAAAAAAAUGUCUUACUCAACCUACUGCUGAUGUGAUUGUUGCCCUACAGUGUUACACUCAUUCUAGUGAUGAUUUCAGACUUUAGCAAGUGGAAAGAUGGAUGCUUUUUCCCUUUAUGCUUGUUUAUCAUCUAUUGCUGUUAAUGUUGUGUUCAAAUGUAAACUAAUAAUACAAAUAUCUGAGUUAC